CACGGUGGUCUAACGGUUAGAACGCUGGCCUUGUAAUCCUGGGGUCCCGGGUUCAAUUCCCGGCGGUG
rnacentral:tRNA from 1 species